rnacentral:rRNA from 1 species
CCUACGGGUGGCAGCAGUGAGGAAUAUUGGUCAAUGGCCGGAAGGCUGAACCAGCCAAGCCGCGUGAAGGACGAAGGUGCCAAGCAUUGUAAACUUCUUUUGUCAAGGGACAAAAUCAGGCUCGAGAGCCUGACCGAGGGUACUCGAAGAAAAAGCAUUGGCCAACUCCGUGCCAGCAGCCGCGGUAAUACGGAGGAUGCGAGCGUUAUUCGGAUUUAUGGGGUUUAAAGGGUGGGUAGGCGGGCUGUUAAGUCAGCGGUAAAAGCCCGGGGCUCAACCCCGGCGAGCCGUUGAAACUGGCUGUCUUGAGAUGUCGAGAGGUAUGCGGAAUGCGCGGUGUAGCGGUGAAAUGCUUAGAUAUUGCGCAGAACUCCGAUUGCGAAGGCAGCAUACCGGCGGCGAUCUGACGCUGAGGCACGAAAGCGUGGGUAUCGAACAGGAUUAGAUACCCCAGUAGUC